GCCUUCGUGGUGUAGUGGUCAGCACGCUCGACGCGUAACCGAGAGAUCCGUGGUUCGAUUCUCGGCGAAGACU
rfam:Stegodyphus mimosarum contig61375, whole genome shotgun sequence.